UAAUAGCAGCAUGAGUGUUCUCGUAUAAUAUUGGAAAUAUGGUCCAAAAGUUUCUACCAAACUACCGUAAAUGGUUUGACUACGAGGAGACAGAGGCCGUAU
rfam:Bacillus marisflavi strain JCM 11544 scaffold2, whole genome shotgun sequence.